UCCAGGCCCUACGGGGCGCAGCAGGCGCGAAACCUUCGCACUGCGCGAAAGCGCGACGAGGGGAGACCGAGUGCCUCUCCUUUUUUUGGGGAGGCUUUUCACAAGCCUAAAAAGCUUGUGGAAUAAGGGCUGGGCAAGACGGGGUG
rnacentral:rRNA from 1 species